rnacentral:rRNA from 1 species
UACGUAGGGAGCGAGCGUUGUCCGGAUUCAUUGGGCGUAAAGAGCUCGUAGGCGGCUUGGCAAGUCGGGUGUGAAAACUCCAGCUCAACCUGGAGACGCCACCCGAUACUGCCAUGGCUAGAGUCCGGUAGGGGACCACGGAAUUCCUGGUGUAGCGGUGAAAUGCGCAGAUAUCAGGAGGAACACCGGUGGCGAAGGCGGUGGUCUGGGCCGGAACUGACGCUGAGGAGCGAAAGCGUGGGAGCAAACAGG